AACCUGCUGGGUUUUUCUUCUGGGACCUUUUACAGGGGAAUGUUCCAGCAUCACUCGGCUCCAUCCAUCCAUGGAUUCCUCCUCCAUGGUUCAUCCAUCCAUCCAUCCAUGGAUUCCUCCUCCAUGGUUCAUCCAUCCAUCCAUGGAUUCCUCCAUGGUUCAUCCAUUCCUUCAUCCAUCCAUGGAUCUGUCCAUCCAUCCAUCCAUGAAUCUGUCCAUCUCUCCAUGGAUCCACCCAUCCAUGGAUUCCUGCAUGGUUCAUCCAUCCAUGGAUCCAUCCACCCAUCCAUGGAUUCCUCCGUGGUUCAUCCAUCCAUGGAUCCAUCCAUCCAUCCAUGGAUUCCUCCUCCAUGGUUCAUCCAUUCCUUCAUCCAUCCAUGGAUCCAUCCAUGCAUCCAUGGAUUCCUGCAUGGUUCAUCCAUUCCUUCAUCCAUCCAUGGAUUCCUUUAUUCCUUCAUUCAUCCACGGAUGUGUCCCCCACCCUUCCUUCCAUCCCUUUGUCCAUCCAUCCAUCCAUGAGUCUGUCCACCUCUCCAUGGAUCCAUCCAUCCAUCCAUCCAUCAUCCAUCCAUCCAUCAUCCAUCAUCCAUCCAUCAUCCAUCCAUCCAUCCAUCCAUCCAUCCAUCAUCCAUCCAUCAUCCAUCCAUCAUCCCUCCAUCCCCCCUUUUCCUGGAUUCCCCUCCUCAGGAUCCCUGAGCUCACCCACCAAAGGCUCCCAAGGGCUUUAGGAGCAAAGUGGCUGCUCCGACCCCAAAUUCUGCUGGAAAACAGAGACGAGAUCCCAGGGAACGGCUGGAGAUGUCCCUGAGGGGAUUUAGGUUGGAUUUAGGGAAAGGUUCUGGGGUUUUUGGUGCUUGGGAACAUUCCCAAGGCUCCAGAGCUCCAGGAAGGUUUGGACACCACUCCCAGGGACGCUCGGGGUGGGAUGUUCAGGAUCCUUGAGGAUCCUUCCAGGAUAUCCCAGGUGUGCUGGGAUGAGCUGAACCACCCAAAAUCCAGGCUGGGAGAAUUCCAAUGAGGAGAUGGACACAGUUCUGAAGGAAACACCAAAACCUUCCCAAAAAACCAACCCCUGGCAGCAAGGAAGGACGGGAAAGCUUUCCCAGAGAAGCUGCGGCUGCUCUGCAUCCCUGCAAGUGUCCAAGGAGCAUCCCGGGACAGGGGAAGGUGGAAUUCCCAUCAACCCAAACCAUCCUGGAAUUCUGGAACCAACCAGGAUUCACCUCCAACUGGUUUUCCAGGCAGGAAAAUAUUUUCUUUUUCCCCUCAGGCUGGAAAAGCCGAGGCCUGGCUGGAGGCGAUUCCAGAGCAGAUCCCAGGAAUAUCCCAGGAGCUGUCGGAGC
rnacentral:lncRNA from 1 species